CAGACGGCAGUUCACACGGAAGGGCACACACAGUGUUGUUACCCUAUCAGCUCGAGGAUAUAUUCGAUGAGCCUCAUGGCCACUAGAAAAUUACAUGCAACUUGAUGUUCAAUUCACUAACAUAGCAAAAAUUUUGAACUCCUAAGUAACAGCCUGUAUAUUUUCAUCUUUCUUCUGAAGUGGAGUUAGUAUUGGGAGGAAUUCCACAUACUAUCUAAAAAGGGAUCUGAAUAUGAUUUCUGCCAAAACAGAAGGAUACAGUUUCUCAUUCUUCCACAGAUACCAAGAAGGACAAGGGUGUUUUUACAAGGGAAAGAUCAACCAGAGACACUUCAAAGAAAAGAAAUAGGAG